rnacentral:rRNA from 1 species
UACGUAGGGGGCAAGCGUUGUCCGGAAUCAUUGGGCGUAAAGCGCGCGUAGGCGGCCCGGUAAGUCCGUUGUGAAAGUCAAAGGCUCAACCUUUGAACGCCGAUGGAUACUGCCGGGCUAGAGUCCGGAAGAGGCGAGUGGAAUUCCUGGUGUAGCGGUGGAAUGCGCAGAUAUCAGGAGGAACACCAGUAGCGAAGGCAGCUCGCUGGGACGGUAACUGACGCUGGAGGCGCGAAAGCGUGGGGAGCGA